GACGAACGCUGGCGGCGUGCUUAACACAUGCAAGUCGAACGAUGAAGCCGGAGCUUGCUCCGGUGGAUUAGUGGCGAACGGGUGAGUAACACGUGAGCAAUCUGCCCUUGACUCUGGGAUAACUGCGGGAAACUGUAGCUAAUACCGGAUACGACACCUUGGGGCAUCCCAGGGUGUGGAAAGAAUUUCGGUCAAGGAUGAGCUCGCGGCCUAUCAGCUAGUUGGUGAGGUAAUGGCUCACCAAGGCCACGACGGGUAGCCGGCCGGAGAGGGUGACCGGCCACACUGGAACUGAGACACGGUCCAGACUCCUACGGGAGGCAGCAGUGGGGAAUAUUGCACAAUGGGCGAAAGCCUGAUGCAGCAACGCCGCGUGAGGGAUGAAGGCCUUCGGGUUGUAAACCUCUUUUAGCAGGGAAGAAGCGAAAGUGACGGUACCUGCAGAAAAAGCACCGGCUAACUACGUGCCAGCAGCCGCCGUAA
rnacentral:rRNA from 1 species